GCCGUCUUCACUCGCCGAAGCGGCGGCGCCGAUUCGGGUAUUGCUCGAGCACUUAUCCAGAUCUUGUCGCUCAUUAAUGAUAUCCCUGUUAGCUCCAGGAAGUAUGAAGUUGUUCGAUCUUUGGCUGAGAAAAUUAUAGAGGAGAAUCAGAGUGGGGAUGCUGAGGCUUUGCGUUUAGUCAACCGUACAAGUUUAUCAGCGGCUUUUGAGAGGACUCUUAGCCAGCUUGAAGCGUCCAUGAUGGAGCUCGGCUAUGAACCGGACGUGAAUUGGCAGGGUCAGAACC
rnacentral:misc_RNA from 1 species